rnacentral:lncRNA from 1 species
GUGUGAGAGAGAGAGAGAGAGAGAGAGAGAGAGAGAGAGAGAGAGAGAGAGAGAUUUAUUUUAAAUUUAAAUUUAAAUUUUUAAAAUUUAUAAUUUUAAAAUUUAAAUUUAUAAUUUAAAAUUAUAAAUUUUAAAGUUUAAUUUUUAAAUUUGAUAUUUUUAAAUUUUUAAAUUUUAAAUUUGUUAUUUUUAAUUUUUAAAUUUUAAAUUUGUUAUUUUAUAUCUUUAAAAUUUAAAUUUGGUCUUAAAUUUAAAAUUGGAUAUUUAAAAUUAAAGUUUUAAAUUUUACUUUCAAAUUUUAAAAUUUAAAAGUUAAAAUUUUUAAUUUUUAUUUUAAAAUUAUAAAUUUAAAAUUUAAAAAUUUAAAUUCAAUUAUAUGGGUAAUAUCAUUAUUUUUUAUUUAUAACUAACAAUUAAUCCUCUUAUUCCCAAUAACCAUCCAAACAUAAUUUUUCUAAUUCCAUCUUAUUCUCAUAUUUUUAUCCAAAUAAAAAAAUAUUUUUAUUCUUACAAAAACUCAUAUUCGUACUUAACUAUCUCCGGUAUAAUUAGUUCCUAAUAAUUUUCGAACAAAAAGGA